UACAGAGGGUGCAAGCGUUAAUCGGAAUUACUGGGCGUAAAGCGUGCGUAGGCGGUCGCGUAAGUCAGAUGUGAAAGCCCCGGGCUCAACCUGGGAAUUGCAUUUGAGACUGCGUAGCUAGGGUGCGGAAGAGGGAAGCGGAAUUUCCGGUGUAGCGGUGAAAUGCGUAGAUAUCGGAAGGAACACCAGUGGCGAAAGCGGCUUCCUGGUCCAGCACCGACGUUCAGGCACGAAAGCGUGGGGAGCAAACAGG
rnacentral:rRNA from 1 species